UCACAAUUGUGAGUAUGGUUAAGCAGAUCACAUGACAGUAAUAAAAGAGUUUGAUCUGCCACAAUGACAUGGAUGUGGUAAAGUAAAUCUGACAGCAAUAUAAAAUGCUACAGUUUGAGCGGUCACUGGUGAAAAUGUAGGUGACAGUAUGCGCUCUUGCCGUUGAUGAACAGAAGAAGAACUCGAAACCCGGCUCGAAGAAGUCUCUGGAAAAAUCAUGGCGGCGGCCGAUAAGAAAGAUGCGCGACCAGGAAAAGCUCCUAAAAAAGAGUCCCAGCCUUUAAUUAUCGCCAAAACACCAGCAGAGGAGCAGCGUUUAAAGUUGGAGAGAUUGAUGCGAAACCCUGAUAAACCUGCGCCUAUUCCAGAGAAACCAAAAGAGUGGAAUCCUCGCGCUCCACCAGAGUUUGUGCGGGAUGUGAUGGGCUCCAGUGCUGGAGCAGGCAGCGGUGAAUUCCACGUGUAUAGACAUCUGCGCCGGCGGGAGUAUCAGAGACAAGAUUUCCUGGAACGAAUUUCUGACAAGCAAAAGCUGGAUGAAGAAUAUAUUGAGAAGGUGAAAGAAAACCAAAAGGCUGCUGAGGAAAGAACAGCCAAACGCAGAAAGAAGAGGGAAAAGUUGAAACAAAAGAAGCUGAUGGCCAAGAAAGCCAAGAUGGAGAGCCAGAAAGAAGAAGGUACAAGAUAAUGAAAUGAUCUUAGAAAUCCAUCCCAUUCUUCCUUGAACGCCAACUGGAAGACAUCUACUAAACACUGAGAGUGUCUGAAAACUUAAGCUCCGAGGAGAAGUCAUCAUCCUCUGCUUCUGAAGCAGAAGAGCAAGAAGAUGAUGCAGAAGUGCCGAGCUUCAUCAUGGGGAAGAGGUGACCGAAUGAAAGGAUUGAAGUAUCCAGCAUAUACUUCCAUACAAUACCAGAAACCCCUCCAGCAGAGAACUUUAGUGAGCUGUUCGUAAAAAUACUCAAAGUCAGUUUGGAUUCAGUGUUUCAGAAGUGCUUGAGUCAGAUGUUCAACAUUUGAGGUGGACAUUUGAAAAGCUAAAUGUUUUUCUUUCAUUGGAGUGCUGAUGAUAAGCUAAUGUGACCGGGAUAGACUUUUAUUCUGUUGUAAAUGUUUUUUGUUUUUUUUUAAUAAACAACAAAGGGAAUAAUUUUGGCAUUUCGGUGUUUCAUGGAACAUUGUUCUCACUGUCCUUUAACUGCUUCUGCUUUUCCAUUAUGUGAAUAAAUUAUACUUAAAAAUAGAAAA